rnacentral:rRNA from 1 species
AACGGCAGCACAGGAGAGCUUGCUCUCUGGGUGGCGAGUGGCGGACGGGUGAGGAAUGCGUCGGAAUCUGCCUAUUUGUGGGGGAUAACGUAGGGAAACUUACGCUAAUACCGCAUACGACCUACGGGUGAAAGUGGGGGACCUUCGGGCCUCACGCAGAUAGAUGAGCCGACGCCGGAUUAGCUAGUUGGCGGGGUAAAGGCCCACCAAGGCGACGAUCCGUAGCUGGUCUGAGAGGAUGAUCAGCCACACUGGAACUGAGACACGGUCCAGACUCCUACGGGAGGCAGCAGUGGGGAAUAUUGGACAAUGGGCGCAAGCCUGAUCCAGCCAUGCCGCGUGUGUGAAGAAGGCCUUCGGGUUGUAAAGCACUUUUGUCCGGAAAGAAAAGCAUCCGGUUAAUAACCGGGUGUCAUGACGGUACCGGAAGAAUAAGCACCGGCUAACUUCGUGCCAGCAGCCGCGGUAAUACGAAGGGUGCAAGCGUUACUCGGAAUUACUGGGCGUAAAGCGUGCGUAGGUGGUUUGUUAAGUCCGAUGUGAAAGCCCUGGGCUCAACCUGGGAAUGGCAUUGGAUACUGGCAGGCUAGAGUGCGGUAGAGGGGUGUGGAAUUCCCGGUGUAGCAGUGAAAUGCGUAGAUAUCGGGAGGAACAUCUGUGGCGAAGGCGACACCCUGGACCAGCACUGACACUGAGGCA